ACAACUUUCAGCAACGGAUCUCUUGGCUCUCGCAUCGAUGAAGAACGCAGCGAAAUGCGAUAAGUAAUGUGAAUUGCAGAAUUCAGUGAAUCAUCGAAUCUUUGAACGCACCUUGCGCUCCUUGGUAUUCCGAGGAGCACACCUGUUUGAGUGUCGUGAA
rnacentral:rRNA from 2 species